AGGACGAACGCUGGCGGCGUGCUUAACACAUGCAAGUCGAACGAGGCCCUACCUUCGGGUAGGUGACCUAGUGGCGAACGGGUGAGUAACACGUGGGCAACCUACCCUCAGCUCUGGGAUAACCCCGGGAAACCGGAGUUAAUACCGGAUAUGACCUUGAACGACAUCGUUCUUGGUGGAAAGUUUUUCGGCUGAGGAUGGGCCCGCGGCCUAUCAGCUUGUUGGCGGGGUAAUGGCCCACAAGGCGACGACGGGUAG
rnacentral:rRNA from 1 species